rnacentral:rRNA from 1 species
UAAUACGGAGGGUGCAAGCGUUAUCCGGAUUCACUGGGUUUAAAGGGUGCGUAGGUGGUUUUGUAAGUCAGUGGUGAAAGCCCGGAGCUCAACUCCGGAACUGCCAUUGAUACUGCUUAACUUGAAUCAACUUGAGGUGGAUGGAAUAAUACAUGUAGCGGUGAAAUGCUUAGAUAUGUAUUAGAACACCGAUUGCGAAGGCAGUUCACUAAGGUUGUAUUGACACUGAGGCACGAAAGCGUGGGGAUCAAACAGGAUUAGAUACCCUGGUAGUCCACGCCUUAAACGAUGUAAACUCGACAUUAGCGAUAUACUGUUAGUGUCCAAGCGAAAGCGUUAAGUUUACCACCUGGGAAGUACGUCCGCAAGGAUGAAACUCAAAUGAAUUGACGG